rnacentral:rRNA from 1 species
UACAGAGGGUGCGAGCGUUAAUCGGAAUUACUGGGCGUAAAGCGCACGUAGGCGGCUUGGUAUGUCGGGUGUGAAAUCCCCGGGCUCAACCUGGGAACUGCAUCCGAAACUGCCUUGCUAGAGUACGGUAGAGGGGGAUGGAAUUCCGCGUGUAGCAGUGAAAUGCGUAGAUAUGCGGAGGAACACCGAUGGCGAAGGCAAUCCCCUGGACCUGUACUGACGCUCAUGCACGAAAGCGUGGGGAGCAAACAGG